CACGUGGAGUGCCAUUUGGCCA
rnacentral:siRNA from 1 species